rnacentral:rRNA from 2 species
GAAACCAACAGGGAUUGCCUCAGUAACGGCGAGUGAAGCGGCAAGAGCUCAAAUUUGAAAUCUGGCUUCCUUUGGAGGUCCGAAUUGUAAUUUGUAGAGGAUGCUUUGGGUGCGGCCGCGGCGCAAGUCCCUUGGAACAGGGCGUCGCAGAGGGUGAGAACCCCGUCUUGAGUCGCUGGUACGUGCCCGUGCAAAGCUCCUUCGACGAGUCGAGUUGUUUGGGAAUGCAGCUCAAAGUGGGUGGUAAAUUUCAUCUAAAGCUAAAUAUUGGCCGGAGACCGAUAGCGCACAAGUAGAGUGAUCGAAAGGUUAAAAGCACCUUGAAAAGGGAGUUAAAAAGCACGUGAAAUUGUUGAAAGGGAAGCGCUUGCGACCAGACUUGGACGCGGGGGUUCAGCAGACAUGCUUGUCUGUGCACUCCGCCGCGCUCCAGGCCAGCAUCAGUUUUGACGGCCGGUCAAAGGCCUCUGGAAUGUGUCGUCCUCCGGGACGUCUUAUAGCCAGGGGUGCAAUGCGGCCAGUUGGGACUGAGGAACGCGCUUCGGCACGGAUGCUGGCAUAAUGGUCAUAAGCGACCCGUCUUGAAACACGGACCAAGGAGUCUAACAUCCACGCAAGUGUUCGGGUGUCAAACCCGUGCGCGUAGUGAAAGCGAACGGAGGUGGGAGCCCGCAAGGGUGCACCAUCGACCGAUCCUGAAGUCUUCGGAUGGAUUUGAGUAUGAGCGUGGCUGUUGGGACCCGAAAGAUGGUGAACUAUGCCUGAAUAGGGUGAAGCCAGAGGAAACUCUGGUGGAGGCUCGCAGCGGUUCUGACGUGCAAAUCGAUCGUCAAAUUUGGGUAUAGGGGCGAAAGACUAAUCGAACCAUCUGGUAGCUGGUUCCUGCCGAAGUUUCCCUCAGGAUAGCAGUAACGUUUUCAGUUUUAUGAGGUAAAGCGAAUGAUUA